AGAGUUUGAUCCUGGCUCAGAGUUAACGCUGGCGGCGCGCCUAACACAUGCAAGUCGAGCGAGGGUCUGUACGACCUAGCGGCAGACGGGUGAGUAAUACGUAGACAAUCUGCCCUUGAAUGGAAGAUAACCCGGCGAAAGUCGGGCUAAUAUUCCAUAUAAUCCCGGGGAGGCAUCUUCCUGGGAUGAAAGCAGCAAUGCGUUCAAGGAGGAGUCUGCGGCCUAUCAGCUAGUUGGCGGGGUAAUGGCCCACCAAGGCUUUGACGGGUAGCCGAUCUAAAAGGAUGACCGGCCACAAGGGCACUGAGACACGGGCCCUACUCCUACGGGAGGCAGCAGUGGGGAAUUUUGGACAAUGGGGGAAACCCUGAUCCAGCGACGCCGCGUGGAGGACGAAGGUCUUCGGAUUGUAAACUCCUUUUGCAGGGGACG
rnacentral:rRNA from 1 species